UAGGCUAACAAAGGGUGAAGGUGAAGACCAUUAGAGUUUUUAGAGCUGGCUGAGACGGGUUGCUGGGGUUGUGUAACUGUGCCUAGAGGGCGGGGUUCCUGUACAUUCCUACUUCACCAGAUAACCUGCCCCCAACACCACUCCAGCUUCUGCCAGACAGAUGGAACUCUCCAACAUGAAAAUCUGCGCAGCCAUUCCAACAAGCCAGACUGCCUGAGGUUGUCCAAAGGAUGCCGAGGAAAAAGAUUUAAGGACUGGGAGCGCUCUUACCCCAAAAUCGGAUGAAGAUGGAAUCCAUUUCAGUCUGAAAUGUGUGUUUCACAGCUGCAAUUGGACAUUCUUGUGAUUUGUUGUUUCACUGGUUAGAUGGAUGAUCCAUUCUGGCCCAACUCAAGUGUUCUAAUAGAGACUCCCUUGGUCUAAUACGGGACUCCCCAAAACAGUGGGAGGAAAUCUCUUGGAGUUAUUGAAACUUCUUCAUAUGUAUGAGAGGCUUCUCAUUGGCUGGUGCAGUGCAAGUUGAUGGCACAAUUGUUCACUUAGAAUCAAAGGAUAUCUAUUUAUUGGUGUGCUGUUAUCAGUCAGAAGUUUCCAAAUACAAGUUCUCCAAUUCAAAGGAAAGUAUCUGGAUCCAGGCAGAAAGGCGUCUGCGAAUUGCCAAAGUGUGCAUGAUGCUUCAGCAUUCUUUUUUAAUUUCUGUUUCUGGAACACUCCUCUCCUCAGUAUACUCCAACUACUAGAUAGGUUCCUAGGUUCAUCCAGAUCUGUCCCACAUCUGAAUUUUUGGUCAUUUUCCCACACUCUGGCUCCACAAAUAAAGA